GAAAGGAACACCAAUGGCGAAGGCAACAUUCUGGACCAAUACUGACACUGAGGGACGAAAGCGUGGGGAUCAAACAGGAUUAGAUACCCUGGUAGUCCACGCUGUAAACGAUGAGUACUAGCUGUUGGAUUCGGUGUAAAGGAUCUAGUGGCGUAGCUAACGCGUUAAGUACUCCGCCUGGGGACUACGGCCGCAAGGCUAAAACUCAAAGGAAUUGACGGGGACCCGCACAAGCGGUGGAGCAUGUGGUUUAAUUCGAUGCAACGCGAAGAACCUUACCUGGUCUUGACAUCCUGCGAACUUUCUAGAGAUAGAUUGGUGCCUUCGGGAACGCAGUGACAGGUGCUGCACGGCUGUCGUCAGCUCGUGUUGUGAAAUGUUGGGUUAAGUCCCGCAACGAGCGCAACCCCUAUUGAUAGUUACCAUCAUUAAGUUGGGUACUCUAUUGAGACUGCCGCUGACAAGGCGGAGGAAGGUGGGGACGACGUCAAGUCAUCAUGGCCCUUACGACCAGGGCUACACACGUGCUACAAUGGGUAUUACAGAGGGCAGCGAAGUAGCGAUAUGGAGCGAAACUCAGAAAGGUACUCUUAGUCCGGAUUGCAGUCUGCAACUCGACUGCAUGAAGUCGGAAUCGCUAGUAAUCGCAGGUCAGAAUACUGCGGUGAAUACGUUCCCGGGUCUUGUACACACCGCCCGUCACACCAUGGGAGUGGGUUGCUCCAGAGAGUAGAUAGCU
rnacentral:rRNA from 1 species